rnacentral:rRNA from 1 species
UACGUAGGGGGCAAGCGUUGUCCGGAAUCAUUGGGCGUAAAGAGCGUGUAGGCGGCCCGAUAAGUCCGCUGUGAAAGUCCAGGGCUCAACCCUGGAAUGCCGGUGGAUACUGUCGGGCUCGAAUCCGGAAGAGGUGAGUGGAACUCCUGGUGUAGCGGUGAAAUGCGCAGAUAUCAGGAGGAACACCAAUGGCGAAGGCAGCUCACUGGGACGGUAUUGACGCUGAGACGCGAAAGCGUGGGGAGCAAACAGG